AAUUUAGCCCCUCUCCCCCAACUGAUCCAUCACUCCUCCAUAUCCCUAAAAUCCGUUCAUAUUCUGCUCCCAUAACUCCCAAUUCUCUUUUUCUUGUUGCUUCGCAGUUUCCCCUAUAUACAUCGAUGAUAUGAGGUUACUUUCAUUCUACGUCUCUUGAUUCUCAGCUCUCUGAAAUCCUCAUCUCCGCCCUCUCAUGGAUAUCUAUUUAUCGGUUGUGCUCAGCGGCGAAGUGGUGGUAGUGAUGUAUGUUCACAGGUAUAAAAUUGCUUCUAAGAUUUGAAAGGUGCUUACAUUACGUUAGUUUCAUUGUUACUUCUAUGGGUAAUGUGAUUCGGUUACUUGUUUAUGAGUGAGACGCCCACCGAUUGUUCAAAGAAUUUCCCUCCAACUAGAGGCUUCGAGGCAACGAAAGAAGACUGUCAUCUAUCGGUUGCUUCAGUUUUCAUUUUUUUCAUUUGUGUGGCCGAGGUGUACACCAAAGUAGGAAACUUGGUGAAUCAAGGGAAAAAAUAGGUUCUUCAAUUACUUUGAUUGGCGUUUUGUUACUCAAGCUAUUGUGGCCCUGAAUGUUUGUCAGUCAAUGAAAUAUAAUUGGAAAUGCACCAGUAACAAAAGAGAAGAUAUAACAGAGUUGUUAAUGCCACCUCAGCACGUUUGUAGGUGACAUAACACUUGAGAUUACAUUCAAUAUUUGUGAGAAGAUGUGCAACAAAAAUGAUGAUAAAAGAUCUCUCUCUUGAUGUGGUUACUAUUGAAUAUGUGAGCGUGUUUGUCAUUCAAGCGCAACUAUGUUGUUUGCCAUGGUUUAUGUUAUAAGUGUCAAAUUGUAUAAAAUAUAGUUUGAUUUUUGUUUGUAAAUUUAUGUGACUUGAGAUGUAUCUAUAGAUAGAAAAAAUAGAAAAAUAAUAUAAAACGUAUGCUU
rnacentral:lncRNA from 1 species